GACGAACGCUGGCGGCGUGCUUAACACAUGCAAGUCGAACGGAAAGGCCUCUUUCGGGGGGUACUCGAGUGGCGAACGGGUGAGUAACACGUGAGUAACCUGCCCUUGACUUUGGGAUAACUUCAGGAAACUGGGGCUAAUACCGGAUAGGAGCUCCUGCUGCAUGGUGGGGGUUGGAAAGUUUCGGCGGUUGGGGAUGGACUCGCGGCUUAUCAGCUUGUUGGUGGGGUAGUGGCUUACCAAGGCUUUGACGGGUAGCCGGCCUGAGAGGGUGACCGGCAACAUUGGGACUGAGAUACGGCCCAGACUCCUACGGGAGGCAGCAGUGGGGGAUGUUGCACAAUGGGUGGAAGCCUGAUGCAGCAACGCCGUGUGCGGGAUGACGGCCUUCGGGUUGUAAACCGCUUUCGCUCAUGACGAAGCUUUGCGUGACGGUAGUGGGUAAAGAAGCACCGGCUAACUACGUG
rnacentral:rRNA from 1 species